CAGAGUUUGAUCCUGGCUCAGAUUGAACGCUGGCGGCAUGCUUUACACAUGCAAGUCGAACGGUAACAGGGAGCUUGCUCCGCUGACGAGUGGCGAACGGGUGAGUAAUGCAUCGGAACGUGCCUAUUUGUGGGGGAUAACGUAGCGAAAGUUACGCUAAUACCGCAUACGCCCUGAGGGGGAAAGCGGGGGAUUCGUAAGAACCUCGCGCAAUUAGAGCGGCCGAUGUCGGAUUAGCUAGUUGGUGGGGUAAAGGCUCACCAAGGCGACGAUCCGUAGCGGGUCUGAGAGGAUGAUCCGCCACACUGGGACUGAGACACGGCCCAGACUCCUACGGGAGGCAGCAGUGGGGAAUUUUGGACAAUGGGCGAAAGCCUGAUCCAGCCAUGCCGCGUGAGUGAAGAAGGCC
rnacentral:rRNA from 1 species